AUUUUUCUUUGUUUUCUGCAGAACACAUUGUUUGAAGAAGCAGAAUUUCAGCAGUUUGCAUUCUUCAAGACUCGGAUAUGCUUACGCAAUGCUCUUCAAGAUGAAAUGAUCUCCAGCCAGUACGAUGACAAAGAGGCUGUUCUCAUCACAAUGAAUCGGCCCAUGAUUUACUUUCAGCCUAUUGCUCUUGAUAAAGCUGUCCUUGUCUGGCUUAACUACAAGAAUGCUUACGAAUACUGGAAUGAGCAACGGGGAAGCUUAAAUAAAGAGGUGAGCAUGGUAACUUGAGCAGUUUCCAGUAAUUUCUUGUUUGUGCAAGAAUGUUUUAUACCCAGCUCUCCCUGGCAGAGAGAUCUCUACAGAACUGACAUCAUCGUUGGCAUAUACUUAGGGUCCUUCAUUUUCGGGUUUUAUAUUUUUUUAAUUUCAGAAGGUAAAAUCUGGUGUUAUUUUAAAGAGGUAAACUGGGUAGAAAUCGGUGGCUUUGUUCUCAGGCAGGAAAACUAGAGAGAAAUUGGGACUUUUGUUCUGUGGCAACACACAGCUCUAGAUUUUCCUGGUAAGUUGAUCAAACGAUUAACACA